AGGUUAAUAGUUCAAUGGUAAAAUAAUGAUCUUCAAAAUCAAAGUUUUAGGUUCGAGUCCUAAUUAACCUG